AGCAGCCGGGUAACACCGGCGGCCCGAGUGGUGAUCGUGAUUAUUGGGUCUAAAGGGUCCGUAGCCGGUUUGGUCAGUCCUCCGGGAAAUCUGAUAGCUCAACUAUUAGGCUUUCGGGGGAUACUGCCAGACUUGGAACCGGGAGAGGUAAGAGGUACUACAGGGGUAGGAGUGAAAUCUUGUAAUCCCUGUGGGACCACCUGUGGCGAAGGCGUCUUACCAGAACGGGUUCGACGGUGAGGGACGAAAGCUGGGGGCACGAACCGGAUUAGAUACCCGGGUAGUCCCAGCCGUAAACGAUGCUCGCUAGGUGUCAGGCAUGGCGCGACCGUGUCUGGUGCCGCAGGGAAGCCGUGAAGCGAGCCACCUGGGAAGUACGGCCGCAAGGCUGAAACUUAAAGGAAUUGGCGGGGGAGCACAACAACGGGUGGAGCCCUGCGGUUUAAUUGGACUCAACGCCGGACAACUCACCGGGGGCGACAGCAAUAUGUAGGCCAAGCUGAAGACUUUGCCUGAAUCGCUGAGAAGUGGUGCAUGG
rnacentral:rRNA from 1 species